rnacentral:rRNA from 1 species
GGUGAGUAACACGUGGAUAACCUACCUAUAAGACUGGGAUAACUUCGGGAAACCGGAGCUAAUACCGGAUAACAUGUUGAACCGCAUGGUUCAACAGUGAAAGACGGUCUUGCUGUCACUUAUAGAUGGAUCCGCGUCGCAGUAGCUAGUUGGUAAGGUAACGGCUUGCCAAGGCAACGAUGCGUAGCCGACCUGAGAGGGUGAUCGGCCACACUGGAACUGAGACACGGUCCAG